rnacentral:piRNA from 1 species
UGACGGUGUACCUGAAAUAUUUUCAGGGC